rnacentral:rRNA from 1 species
UACGUAGGGGGCAAGCGUUGUCCGGAUUUAUUGGGCGUAAAGAGCGUGUAGGCGGCUAGGUAGGUCCGUUGUGAAAACUCGAGGCUCAACCUCGAGACGCCGGUUGAAACCAUCAGGCUAGGGUCCGGAAGAGGAGAGUGGAAUUCCCGGUGUAGCGGUGAAAUGCGCAGAUAUCGGGAAGAACACCCGUGGCUAAGGCGGCUCUCUAGUACGGUACUGACGCUGAGACGCGAAAGCGUGGGGAGCGAACAGG